AGAACGAACGCUGGCGGCAGGCUUAACACAUGCAAGUCGAACGCUCGUAGCAAUACGGGAGUGGCAGACGGGUGAGUAACGCGUGGGAACAUACCCUCCGGUUCGGAAUAGCUCAGGGAAACUUGGAUUAAUACCGGAUACGGCUGAGAGGCGAAAGAUUUAUCGCCGGAGGAUUGGCCCGCGUUCGAUUAGCUUGUUGGUGAGGUAACGGCUCACCAAGGCGAUGAUCGAUAGCUGGUCUGAGAGGAUGAUCAGCCACAUUGGGACUGAGACACGGCCCAAACUCCUACGGGAGGCAGCAGUGGGAAUAUUGGACAAUGGGCGCAAGCCUGAUCCAGCCAUGCCGCGUGAGUGAUGACGGCCUUAGGGUUGUAAAGCUCUUUCGCUCGGGACGAUAAUGACGGUACCGAGAUAAGAAGCCCCGGCUAACGUUCGCGCCAGCAGCCGC
rnacentral:rRNA from 1 species